CCGUUCAAAGGUAGUGUAAUUUUAGCCCAUUGAUUGUGGGCCAAUGAAAGGAUUGACAAGUUUUAGUUGUCUCACUUGUGUUAGUUAUAAGUUAACUUUUAGGUGAAGAGGCCUAAAUUUUAUAGAGGGACGAGAAGACCCUGUCAAACUUUAAUUUUAAGUUUUGGCUUAUGGUGUGUUUAAAAUUAGAAAUUUAAGUUGGGGCAACUGGGAAGGAUAAAUACUUUUUAGGAAACAAAUGGUUUUUGUGGAAGUUUGAUCCAAAUAAUUUUGAAUAUAGAA
rnacentral:rRNA from 1 species